GCCUCCGUAGCUCAGCUGGCUAGAGCAGCUGAUUUGUAAUCAGCAGGUCGUGGGUUCGAGUCCCUCUGGAGGCUCAA
rnacentral:tRNA from 6 species